CUACACUUGCGAGCUUCCCCAUCCUUGCGGUGCCGCUCCCAGUCCCCGCCUCUUCCAAGAAAAUCCCACGGAGUACCCUAAAAAAAAAUCCCACGGAAAAGUUUCCCCUCUUCCACCAAGCUUCCAGGUUCCUCUCCUCUCCACCGAGUUCGAGCAGCCGCGGCAGCAGUAGCCAUGUGGCGUUCGCGCGGCGGCGGCAACCAGGACAUCGGCGCUAGGUCAUACACGAAGCGGAGGGCAUGCCGUUGCUGGCUUACAACGGGGGCUUCGUCGUGGUCUUAGUUCCUGCUGAACGUCUAUGGCGGCAUGCUCGCCUACAUCAUCGACCUUCCACCACUCUAGUAGCAGUAGCAGUAUCAAGUGUACUGUCGACGCGUUUGAUCCUUCUAGAGCCUCUGGGAGUGAAACAUGGAGUUGUCGUGUAUUUGCAGUUCGUAGUUCAGUCUGUCCAUGCUACCUCCGCUGGAACUUGAGGUGCUUGAUGAAGAUGAAGAAGAGGAAGGCGAACAGGGCGAUGAUGGCCAGGUGCAGGCAUGUGACAAGGUUGAAGUAGCGGUUCUCGAGGCCAAGGUAGCCCUCGAGGAACUCACGCACCGUCUGGUCCGGUUGCCCCGGCACACGGAUCAGCUCUGUCCGGUCGCCCAGCUGUGAGAACAUGAGCCCGUACACUGUCCAUGCCGCUGGGUUAGCCCAGUACACCCACCUCCACCAUAUCGGGAUCAGCUGCAUCCACAUUGCCACAUUGUUGUUGUUCAUUAGCAAGCCAUGCACUGCGCCCUAAAGUUCUGCCAAUAUCCUGGGGGAAAAUGUAGAUCCACGGUGUUUGGCGCUGGUUGCCCCAGCUCUUCAAUUAGAAGCAUGUUCUCCCUGCAGAAACAAGGGAGGAGCUCCGGUAAAUUUCUGCAUAGUCCACUCCAAUCACAUAUUCUGUUAUGUGUGAACUUAUAUCCAACACCCAUGCUGCUGGGUUUUGUCCCUCUUUUAUUCUAGGAACACCAGCACGGGCAUCCAAGCCAGUGGUUGGCUCGUCCAUGAAUAUAAUGGAAGGACUAGCUACCAGCUCCACUGCUAUUGUUAGCCUUUUUCGCUGCUCAGCUGACAGGCCAGUUGCUCCUGCUAUUCCCACCAUGGCAUUCUUCAGUCCAGUCAAUUCAACUAGGUCCAUUACUUCAUCUAUAAACAUCUGAAACGUGCUUGUAGGAAAAUCUUGUUAGAUCUAUUGUUAUAUAUUAGCUUCAAAGAUGAUAAAGAUUGCAAAAGGUCAAUGCUUAUACAUCUCUUUGGCGAGAGUUAACGUUCGAAGGAAGUCGAAGCCAUGCCGAGAACUGUAGUGACUCAUGCACAGUGAGGUUAGGGGAGUGAAUGUCACUCUGUUCACAGUAGCCCGAGAUCCUUGAGAAUGUGUCCUGCUUCUUUGGGUAUCCUGCUAUCCUAAUAGUACCUUCAAUAUAUCCUCCAGUUUUUCUUCCAGCCAAAACGUCGAGCAAUGUUGUCUUUCCAGCACCAGUGAUCCCCAUCAGAGCUGUUAACACCCCUGGCCUGAAAACACCACUGACAUCUUGCAGCAGUUGAAGCUUUUUCUCUGUUACUCCAUACUUCAUCAUUUCCUGGUGGAAGAUAUGCAUACGUUUGGUCAAACGUGACUGGAAAUGAAAUGGAUGCAAGUAUUCAGUAAGGCACUAUGUGCUCAAGAUGUUACCUUAGGCAUGUCAACAAAAUAGUUGAUAUGAUCAAAUACAAGGGAAAGAGGCUGAAACGGGAGGGCAACUUGACCAGUUGAUGCAUUGCGAGUUCCAACUUUCUGUUUCUUGCACUCCGUUUUUGUCUUCGUGGAAUCGAUAUUAACUUGAUGCUUGUGUGGAGCUACAAAUUAUGAACAAAUGUGAUGGAUUUUGUUUGCAUUUAUGUUUCAAUACUUAUGAGGAUUUUGAUAGCUUUGGUAUACAUACAGUUCAUGAACUCUAGUGCAAAUAUAGUGAGGAUGUUGAGGACCAGCGAGAAUCCAAAUAAAAUGCCGACACAAAUCCAGUACCAAUGCCACUCUGUGAGCAACCCCCUGAUCUUGAGGAUAGCUUCACCAACUGUUUUAGCAUUUGCAUAGUAAAAUUCCUGUCAGCAUGAAAAAAUCAUCAUCAGGUCAUAACUAAUUGCACGGGUUAUGUACAUUGGAUCAAGAAUGUUAGUUGAAACAAUUGCUUACACUAGCCCAUCUUUCAUCAAGGAACUCAUUUAGGGCAACAGCAUUCUGUGCAUAGGUGAAUGGGGAUGUCCAGUAUCCCCACUGCAACCAUGGUUGGAGGUUAUCUGUUUCAAUGUACAAAACUGCCUCCAAAUAUGUAGAUUGCUAUGAGAGCUGCGGUGCCUAGCAUGUUGGCCAUUACUUGCGUCCUUCCUAUUGCCGCUAAGAAACGAUAGAGGCCCAUUGACAUUUGAUGCAUGGCAAAAAGUACCAAAAACUGCUGGAUGAAUCUGCAAGAAGCAAGAGAUCGUCUUUCGCAGGUCGUGGGAGAUAGGAUGAACGAAAAGAUUCUGCAAAUUUUUCGAUUGACCGGUAAUCGUGGAUUACUUUGGCUGUGUUAGGGGCGUUCUCAGGCUCUACUGUGUAGGAGAUGCUGGCGCGUGCUGUCCAUCUCAUGAGAAAUCAACUAGCAAGGUUAUCAGAUGCUGUCAAAACGAACCUUGGCUAACCUGCUCGAGGACUGUAUUAAAGCCGUUGCCGUCAUCCUCGUAGCUGCUGUCGUCUUCUACACCGAAUGCUACCUCAGGAAUGGCCACGCUACGUUCAUGAAAAUUGUAAAGACCCGGUACCAAAAUGGAAAAUUCCCCAAGCUAGACAUGUGCUGUGAUGGUUGUGCUGUCCAGAAGACUCUGUUUAAGGUAGGCUUAGUUGGGGCCAACCUAUUUGUACCAACAUUUCUUUUAGCAACUAUAGUAUUUGUGUAAACAUAUGACCAUGUUUUUUUUUUCUUGAUGGACAUAACGCCAUGUUUAGUGUAUAUAUCAGUGUAUUACAACAAACUGAACCAUUACUCUGUCUUGUGAUUAAGUAAGGCUUGGCUAAACCAAUUUCAGUCAAAAAUAAAAAAGAGACUUGGAGCAGUACUCUCCAAUUUGGUCUAUCCUAGUA